GAUGAAGAACGUAUCGAAAUGCGAUACUUGGUGUGAAUUGCAGAAUCCCGUGAACCAUCGAGUCUUUGAACGCAAGUUGCGCCCGAAGCCAUUAGGCCGAGGGCACGCCUGCCUGGGCGUCACACGUCGUUGCCCCCCCAUCUACUCCUUCGGGAUUGCGGGGGGCGGAUGAUGGCCUCCCGUGCGCCUCGUCGCGCGGUUGGCAUAAAUGCCAAGUCCUCGGCGACGCACGCCACGACAAUCGGUGGUUGCGAAACCUCGGUUGCCCGUCGUGUGCGGUCGUCGCGCAUCGAGGGCUCGAAAAAAUUGCCGGGCUCCGGCUCGACUUUCAACGCGACCCCAGGUCAGGCGGGGUUACCCGCUGAAUUUAAGCAUAUCAAUAAGCGGAGGA
rnacentral:misc_RNA from 1 species